UCACUCUUGUUUCUCUUCAAGUCAUAUAAAUCGUUUGCCUUUUACUAAAGAUUUCUGUGGGGAGGAAUAACAAGAGUUGUAUCUCAAUUUUUGAUGCUCUGUGAAAGUGGAGCU